rnacentral:rRNA from 1 species
AGGAUAAACGCUGGCGGCGUGCCUAAUACAUGCAAGUCGAGCGGCAGCGCGGUCUUCGGACUGGCGGCGAGCGGCGGACGGCUGAGUAACACGUAGGAACGUACCCCAAAGUGAGGGAUAAGCACCAGAAAUGGUGUCUAAUACCGCAUGUGCUCUAAGGAGUAAAGCUUCGGCGCUUUGGGAACGGCCUACGCAUGAUUAGCUUGUUGGUGAGGUAAUGGCUCACCAAGGCGACGAUCAUUAGCUGGUCUGAGAGGAUGAUCAGCCAGACUGGGACUGAGAACGGCCCAGACUCCUACGGGAGGCAGCAGUAGGGAAUUUUCCACAAUGGGCGAAAGCCUGAUGGAGCAACGCCGCGUGCAGGAUGAAGGCCUUAGGGUUGUAAACUGCUUUUAUGUGUGACGAAUAUGACGGUAGCAUAUGAAUAAGGAUCGGCUAACUCCGUGCCAACAGCCGC